AUGAAACGAGCACCACGACGACCCUCGAAGGGUUCGGAUGCGUCAAGUUCAUCUACAUGUGUGUAUGACUACAUACCCAGGAUUCGUCUAGUACCUCUACAGGAGACCCGAACGUCUACGAACGGUGCACGACGACCGAAGGCCUCGGAUACCGUCAAGUACCUACACCGGCAAGGCUACACAGACGUUCGUUCCACUACUACACCGAAACGGCAAGGUCGACUAUGUUUUGUUGCCCCGUCCGGAGUUGUCAAGUACCCGAAGACCAUAUUGGCACCAAGUACAUCUACCGCCGUCUUCGGAAUCGCUAAGAACGGCAAGCACCCCUUCGAGAUGACGAGACCGACAAGUUCAAAUGACCCCAAGUACCUCUCCAAAAACGAGACGUAUACCGCUACCGUCGCAAGAAUCGAGACCAACAAGUCCGAAGAUGCAAGUACCACUCCGAACCAUUUCCGACAUCGUCGCGUUUGUGAGGAUCCGGUCGACUACGUCUGUUUGACUUCUUCAUGGAAUCGUUUUUCUUCCUUGCGGGAUUUCAGGCAAGAUGACCAUACCCUCGAAAUCACUUCUAUCUUUGCUUGCUAG
rnacentral:rRNA from 1 species